AAGGCAAACAUAAUAAUUAGGGAUGUAAUGACUAACCGCGAGCUGGUUGAAAAUCGAUUCAAAUAUAUGAGGAUUCAAAUCGGUUGAGAUACUAAACAAAUUGCGAUUAAUUUAGGUGUAGGAGUUUAUAUGAAUGUGUGUCUGAAGGGAACUUACUGUCUUUAGAA